AACGCACAUUGCGCCCUUUGGUAUUCCGAAGGGCAUGCCUGUUCGAGCGUCAUUAUCACCCCUCAAACCCUGGGUUGCCUUUAACCGGGCCUCCCUAAGUUUGGCGUUGGACGGUUGGUUCGAGUAAUCGAACCCCUCCCAAAGACAAUGACGGAGUCCUGUUCGACCCUCGGUACAUGGAGCACCUUUGCGGGAGCACGUGCCGGACCCCUAAAAGCGGUCGGGAGGACAUACGGUCACCACCUAUAUUUUUAACAAGGUUGACCUCGGAUCAGGUAGGGAUACCCGCUGAACUUAA
rnacentral:misc_RNA from 1 species